rnacentral:rRNA from 1 species
UACGUAGGGGGCAAGCGUUGUCCGGAAUCAUUGGGCGUAAAGCGCGUGUAGGCGGCCAGAAAAGUCCGCUGUGAAAACCCGAAGCUCAACUUCGGGCCUGCAUCCGAAACUGCCCGACUAGAGGUAGGUAGGGGAGAUCGGAAUUCCUGGUGUAGCGGUGAAAUGCGCAGAUAUCAGGAGGAACACCGGUGGCGAAGGCGGUUCUCUGGGCAUUACCUGACGCUGAGGAGCGAAAGUGUGGGGAGCGAACAGG